CCCCCCCCCCCCAAAAAAACCAAGGAAAAAAGACAAAUGGCGCAACUAGAGAGGGGGAGACGCGUCAUUCAAGCGCAACAAUGGACACCAGUUUAAAACGGUCAAUGCAGAAGUGCUGCGAAAUGUGUUUGGGUUUCUGCACACGUCGUCCAUAGCAGCAGGCGCGCGCGCGUGUCACGGAGAGAGAGAGAGAGAGAGAGCGAGGGGAGGGCGGAGGGGGGAGAGAGGGGAGGGGACCAGCGACGCAGCAGCUCCUCGCACACUGUCAUCCGAGAGGCCGGGGAGGAGAUGCUGGGAUGCGGGGGAGAGGAAGCCUCGGCCUCAGCUCGUCUCUGCCCACCGAAGCAGAAGUCGUGCCUUUUUUUUUUGUUGUUGAUGUGUUAAUUCUCGUUUUUUUUAUUUUUUUAUUUUUAUAACAACGCACGUGUGGGUCGGAUCGACUCGUUGUGCAGGUUGGCUCUCAGUCAGUGACGCGGCGUGCAGCCUUUGGGUUUCUCCCAGGACUCCUCGUGGACACUUGCGUUAAAAUACUGCGUGGAAUUGAACCGGAGGUGCAGGAUUUAUUCAAGUGAAUGAAUGGCUUGAAGCUGAAAUACAGAAAUACACACACAGUCUGAACCGUGGUGCACAUCGGGCCCUGCUCUGAGGGUCAGAGGUCACGGUCUGGCUCAGAACAAGACUGUGUCACUCCAAAGAUACAGAGAAUAAGAGUUGCAUUUGAGAAUCAGACAAGGGGAGAUCGGAGGAGGUCCCACAGCCUGUGGCUGCCUUGGACCACCUCUUAAACCUUCCACUUGACGAGGACUCCGUCGAGAUCGUCUCCUCGAUCUGGAUGAAUCGAUGCAGACGAGCUUCAGAGGUGGAGGCGGAGCCACGGGCCACAUCUGAG